AUGACAAAGCACAGCUGUAAUUUUCAACAUUUGUGUGCGUUGGAGCUGGUUCUGGGCUCGCUGCUGGUGCCUUCAGCCCCGCUCCCCACCAGGGUGCUGGGGCUGCCGCCUGAGGGCUGCGGGGCUGCGGCCGCGCCUCAUGGCGGGGCCCCGCCUGCCCGGGGCGGGGACGGCACCAGCCCGGCCCCCUCCUUCCCUCCCUGCCUCCCUCCCUGCCUCCUUCCCUGCCUCUUUCCCUGCCUCCCUCCCAGCCUGGGCCGGGGACGGAGCCGCCGCCGCCCUCUCCCCAGGCAUCUGCUGCGGCUUGUCAUCAUCACCAUCAUCACCAUCAUCAUCACCACCACCAUCAUCAUCAUCAUCACCAUCAUCACCAUCAUCAUCAUCAUAUCACCAUGCCGCUUGUGGACGGGCCCUCGAAACGCACCGGCUCCACAGAGCCAAACCGCGCCGCUGCCGAGGUGGCCACGUCUGCCUCGUCCUCCAUCCACGGCCGUGGGCACAAGCAGCCUGAGGACGGGCGAGGACAGGAUCGAGGAGCUCAGCUGCACCUACAGGGCACCAGCAUUUCGGAACCGUGCUGCCAGGCUGUGGCAGGGACACUGCCACCUGCCUCAGGAUGCCGCUGCAGAUUUAUGGGCUGCAGGAGAACAAGGCAAGGGCACCGCUCGCAGAGCAGCCGCGGCUGCUGCAGCAGGGGCCGGGGGGAAGCCGCCCUGCCCAGAGCUUUGUGCGUCCUUCAGGGAGGGCGAGGAGCAGAGAUGGGGUGAGUGGGAGAACCCAGCCCACCCGCACAGCCGAUUCCUUCUGGGCUGCUGCACCGUGACCGGGAUCUGUGCGUGCGCCGGGGCUGCCUGCCUUUUAUACUGACGUACGUAGUGCUUGCGUGGCUUUGUGCUCUCUGUGUGCAGUUCUUCCUGCUCCCGGGCUGGGGGGGAACUCGUCGGAUAGCUUUCCUGCCAUCUACGUGGUGUGUGGUUUAUCCAUGCUUGAGGCUCGGGGUGCAGCGAGCCCCCUGGUGCAGCUCUGUGCCCACAGCAGGCGAUGCGCAGGGUGCAGGGAAGGUGGCACUGCUGGUGUGCUGCUGCUGCUGCUCUAGGGGAGGGAAAGCAGGCGCUGGAGCAGGGAGCCUCGUGUCCUUCACUUUCGGUUUGCAUUCCUUGGCGGCGCCGGUGCCUGGAGGAGCACUGGCAGAGGACGGCGGAGCAUGAGGAGGUAUCGGGCUGGGUGUCGGAGAGCACCACGGCGUUCCUGGAUCGCGUGUGCUGCAGGGACAGCCCCGUGGUCUCAGAUCCUCAUCCAGCGGGACCUUGCCUGCGGGACGAGUGCUUCCUCCCAGGCAGUGUGCGCGGCAUCUGCCCCACACAGCACCGACACACCAGGACCUGGUCCUGUUUCUUGUGCCUCCUCCUGGCAGCGCUCUGGUGCCGGUGCUCGGGCUUGGCUGCCAGAGUGACCUUGUGCGAGCUGCCGAAGGAAAACACCUGGAAAACCACCCCGGCUUCAUAGGCACGUCCAAAAGUCUCCCCGCCACGCUCCAGUCUCAACCUAAGGAGGUUGAUCUCGGGGUGCUUUGGCACCUGUGGUGCCUUCAGCUGGGUGCUCUUGCUGCUUUCAACAC
rnacentral:lncRNA from 1 species